rnacentral:rRNA from 1 species
UACGUAGGGCGCGAGCGUUGUCCGGAAUUACUGGGCGUAAAGCGCACGUAGGCGGAUCGUUAAGUCGGGGGUGAAAUCCUGGAGCUCAACUCCAGAACUGCAUUCGAUACUGGCGAUCUUGAGUCCGGAAGAGGUGAGUGGAACUCCUAGUGUAGAGGUGGAAUUCGUAGAUAUUAGGAGGAACACCAGUGGCGAAGGCGGCUCACUGGUCCGGUACUGACGCUGAGGUGCGAAAGCGUGGGGAGCAAACAGG